AUGGAGACUUCUUCUCCUCUCACACGAAUGGCGGACACUCCUUCUACUUCUUCACGGUAUCGUAAACCACCAUGGCAUCAUCUUCUUUGUCAUUCAUCUUUACAAUGGUGCAGCUUUAGCCUUUACCUUGAUAUUGUGUCCUUAUUACAGGAAGCGAUGAAUAUCUUUGAGGAAAACUGUGUGAUUGCGUUGAGGCGUUUGUUAUUGAUGUGCAAUGUUGAACCUUGCGGAUUGGUGAUGAUGAUGAUUACAGAGAAGUGUUACGAUGGAAAUUAUUGA